rnacentral:rRNA from 1 species
AGAACGAACGCUGGCGGCAGGCUUAACACAUGCAAGUCGAACGGUUGUAGCAAUACAGCAGUGGCAGACGGGUGAGUAACACGUGGGAACCUUCCUAGGGGUACGGAACAACUCAGGGAAACUUGAGCUAAUACCGUACACGUCCGUGAGGAGAAAGUUUUAACGCCCCUAGACGGGCCCGCGUAGGAUUAGGUAGUUGGUGAGGUAACGGCUCACCAAGCCUACGAUCCUUAGCUGAUCUGAGAGGAUGAUCAGCCACACUGGGACUGAGACACGGCCCAGACUCCUACGGGAGGCAGCAGUGGGGAAUCUUGGACAAUGGGCGCAAGCCUGAUCCAGCCAUGCCGCGUGAGUGAAGAAGGCCUUCGGGUUGUAAAGCUCUUUUACCAGGGACGAUAAUGACGGUACCUGGAGAAUAAGCCCCGGCAAACUUCGUGCCAGCAGCCGC